rnacentral:rRNA from 2 species
AACCACCGACCUAAGUUCCUUGGAACAGGACGUCAUAGAGGGUGAGAAUCCCGUAUGCGGUCGGAAAGGUGCUCUAUACGUAGCUCCUUCGACGAGUCGAGUUGUUUGGGAAUGCAGCUCUAAAUGGGAGGUAAAUUUCUUCUAAAGCUAAAUAUUGGCCAGAGACCGAUAGCGCACAAGUAGAGUGAUCGAAAGAUGAAAAGCACUUUGGAAAGAGAGUUAAAAAGCACGUGAAAUUGUUAAAAGGGAAGGGAUUGCAACCAGACUUGCUCGCGGUGUUCCGCCGGUCUUCUGACCGGUCUACUCGCCGCGUUGCAGGCCAGCAUCGUCUGGUGCCGCUGGAUAAGACUUGAGGAAUGUAGCUCCCUCGGGAGUGUUAUAGCCUCUUGUGAUGCAGCGAGCGCCGGGCGAGGUCCGCGCUUCGGCUAGGAUGCUGGCGUAAUGGUCGUAAUCCGCCCGUCUUGAAACACGGACCAAGGAGUCUAACAUCUAUGCGAGUGUUCGGGUGUCAAACCCCUACGCGUAAUGAAAGUGAACGGAGGUGAGAACCGCAAGGUGCAUCAUCGACCGAUCCUGAUGUCUUCGGAUGGAUUUGAGUAAGAGCAUAGCUGUUGGGACCCGAAAGAUGGUGAACUAUGCCUGAAUAGGGUGAAGCCAGAGGAAACUCUGGUG